rnacentral:rRNA from 1 species
GUACCAGACUCCUACGGGAGGCAGCAGUGAGGAAUAUUGGUCAAUGGCCGCAGGGCUGAACCAGCCAAGUCGCGUGAGGGAUGACGGUCCUAUGGAUUGUAAACCUCUUUUGUCAGGGAGCAAAGGGCGCCACGUGUGGCGCUUUGCGAGUACCUGAAGAAAAAGCAUCGGCUAACUCCGUGCCAGCAGCCGCGGUAAUACGGAGGAUGCGAGCGUUAUCCGGAUUUAUUGGGUUUAAAGGGUGCGUAGGCGGUCUUGCAAGUCAGACGUGAAAACCACAGGCUCAACCUGUGGACUGCGUUUGAAACUGUGGGGCUUGAGUGAAGUAGAGGUAGGCGGAAUUCCCGGUGUAGCGGUGAAAUGCGUAGAGAUCGGGGGGAACACCAGUGGCGAAGGCGGCCUACUGGGCUUUAACUGACGCUGAGGCACGAAAGCGUGGGUAUCGAACAGGAUUAGAUACCCGGGUAA